rnacentral:rRNA from 1 species
UACGGAGGGUGCAAGCGUUAUCCGGAUUUACUGGGUUUAAAGGGUGUGUAGGCGGACUUUUAAGUCCGUGGUGAAAUCUCCGGGCUCAACCCGGAAACUGCCAUGGAUACUAUUGGUCUUGAAUGUUGUUGAGGUGGGCGGAACGGGUCAUGUAGCGGUGAAAUGCAUAGAUAUGACCCGGAACACCGAUUGCGAAGGCAGCCCACUAAGCAAUGAUUGACGCUGAGGCACGAAAGCGUGGGGAUCAAACAGG